GAGAGAAAGCAGUGCAUAGCACAGCAGAGCAAAGCAAGGCAAAAUAGCAGCCAAAGCCACGAGAAUCAAGAAGUCAGUGAAGAGCAGGAAAGGAAUGGAGGAAUCUGUCCAGAGCUGUGCCCCUGCUUGCCACAGGAGCUGCGCGGGAGGAGAAGAACGUGGGCCAAAAGGUAAGAGGAGCUCCUUUGGGUUCUGGGCUUGAAGCAAAGCUGAGAAGCCAUGCCCGGGAGGAGGUGUGGGUAGCUACAGGCCACCUUGCUAUCUCCCCAAGAGAUGAGGUGUGUGGGCUAGGCACCGGGCAGGAGUGCUGGCCAGAAGCAAGCAUCUCUGUGGAGGAAGGCAAAGGGCGGAGGAGGUUAGGGACUGGGAAGGGUUUUUUAAAAAUAACAAAAAAAUUGUGAA
rnacentral:lncRNA from 7 species